GGGGAUGUAGCUCAGUGGUAGAGCAUUUGCCUUGCAAGUGGGAGACACUGAGUUCCAUCCUCAGCACCACA
rnacentral:tRNA from 1 species